CCAAAAGCUCCACUACGGAUUUACUAAAAUUGGAACGAUACAGAGAAGAUUAGCAUUGCUCCUGCGCAA
rnacentral:snRNA from 1 species